rnacentral:rRNA from 1 species
AUUGAACGCUGGCGGCAUGCUUUACACAUGCAAGUCGGACGGCAGCACAGAGAAGCUUGCUUCUUGGGUGGCGAGUGGCGAACGGGUGAGUAACAUAUCGGAACGUACCGAGCAGUGGAGGAUAACUAAUCGAAAGAUUAGCUAAUACCGCAUAUCUUCUGAGGAAGAAAGCAGGGGACCAUUUGGCCUUGCGCUGUUUGAGCGGCCGAUAUCUGAUUAGCUAGUUGGUGGGGUAAAGGCCUACCAAGGCGACGAUCAGUAGCGGGUCUGAGAGGAUGAUCCGCCACACUGGGACUGAGACACGGCCCAGACUCCUACGGGAGGCAGCAGUGGGGAAUUUUGGACAAUGGGCGCAAGCCUGAUCCAGCCAUGCCGCGUGUCUGAAGAAGGCCUUCGGGUUGUAAAGGACUUUUGUCAGGGAAGAAAAGGGCGGGGUUAAUACCCCUGUCUGAUGACGUACCUGAAGAAUAAGC